CCCAAAAUUCAGCCCAGUGGGAGGAGGAGGACGGCCCUGAGCUCUCAGGGUGAGGGGUUUUUAAAGGGAAAAACCGUAAGCAGGGUGGUACAAGCCUUGGCAUCAUAUGAUUGUGUGAGGGUGUAUAACCUUUGAAUUUAUUGGUAGAGGUUACAGUUAUCAUUUUUGAGCAGGCCUGGACAAGUCCCAGGCUUUGAGGCUUUGUCCUUGAGCUGCCAUGGGGGCUGGCUGGCCUUGCACGUUCACAC